UGGGAGUACCGGCUGCAGUCGGGGUCUGUAGCUGUGUCGCCGGCGGCUGCGGGGCCUCUGGGUUGCUUUCCCUCUCGCUCCCGAGUGCCGCGAGUUCCAGGCGGUCCCCGGGAUCGCCAGCGGCACAGGGCCCCAGCCCUUCGCCCGCGCAUCGGGAUGGGGGUCCUAGCCGGUGGGAGCUGCCUGUCCCUCGAGCGCCAGCUACCCGCGUUGUCCAGCGCUCCGGCCUCGGCCCGGCCCUCCUGCCUCCUGGCUGUUAGGUUCUGAAUGUUCCGGAAAUGCCACGUGACCGCGAGGGCGCUUGGGCUUGGGCUGGACAGGCCGGGGAUCUCACCGCGGCGGGCCCGGCUGUCCCGCUUGGGCGUCCUCAGUGGAACCGCACACCCUUUCUCAGCGCGCCGGUCGUUUGGUCCUGUAGGGCCGAGGGGAAUUCGUGCGGUGUUGAGCACGCGGGAAGCACUUAACGAAAGGGAGCUGCCCCUCAGCCCUCGUGAGUCCGAUGUAAAGGAGUGAAGGAGACGAAGAACUGAAUCAGUAGUUGACCGCCUGUGAGCUGGCGAGCUGUGCCCUGGUAGGGCCUUAAAUCCCAGCCCCAGAAGUCGGAGGCAGGGCAGGCACCCCAAAGCGUGGAAGAGAUGCACCUGCGGAGUGAAAAUGCUGCUAUUGCUUCUAGGGUCAGCCUUGGUUCCUGGAACAAAGGAGCCGCAUGACUCGGGUCUGGCGAUGAUGUUGGGCUCUGCAGUGUCCUCAUCCUUCCCCCUCUCUGGAGUCUCUUUCUGUCACCCGGUCUGGAGUGAAGUGGCGCAGUCUCAGCUCUCUGCAACCUCUGCCUCCCAGGUUCAAGCAAU
rnacentral:lncRNA from 1 species